rnacentral:rRNA from 1 species
AAUCAAGCGCGAAAAGGGCGUUUGGUGGAUGCCUUGGCAGUAAGAGGCGAUGAAGGACGUGAUACCCUGCGUUAAGCCAUGGGGAGCCGGGAAUAGGCUUUGAUCCAUGGAUGUCCGAAUGGGGGAACCCACCUGACAUUCUGUUAUAAUUACCUUGGUAAUUUAUAAUGGGGUGAACCAGGUACUUUAAUCCUGAAUACAUAGGGGUUUUAGAGCAAACCCGGGGAACUGAAACAUCUAAGUACCCGGAGGAAAGGAAAUCAAUAGAGACUCCGCUAGUAGUGGCGAGCGAACGCGGACCAGCCGAGCCUGGAAGAGUGACUGGAAUGGU